GACGAACGCUGGCGGCGUGCCUAAUACAUGCAAGUAGAACGCUGACUACUUUAGCUUGCUAGAGUAGAAGGAGUUGCGAACGGGUGAGUAACGCGUAGGUAACCUGCCUACUAGCGGGGGAUAACUAUUGGAAACGAUAGCUAAUACCGCAUAACAGUGUUUAACACAUGUUAGAUGCUUGAAAGAUGCAAUUGCAUCACUAGUAGAUGGACCUGGGUUGGAUUAGCUAGUUGGUGGGGUAACGACCCACCAAGGCGACGUUACAUAGCCGACCUGAGAGGGUGAUCGGACACACUGGGACUGAGACACGGCCCAGACUCCUACGGGAGGCAGCAGUAGGGAAUCUUCGGCAAUGGGGGCAACCCUGACCGAGCAACGCCGCGUGAGUGAAGAAGGUUUUCGGAUCGUAAAGCUCUGUUGUAAGAGAAGAACGUGUGUGAGAGUGGAAAGUUCACACAGUGACGGUAACUUACCAGAAAGGGACGGCUAACUACGUGCCAGCCGCCGCUGUAA
rnacentral:rRNA from 1 species